ACAUUACUGGGAACCCCGACUGAGGAGCAAUGGCCGACCAUGACCAAACUGCCGGACUAUAAGCCCUACCCCAUGUAUCCGGCUACCACGUCUCUAGUGAAUGUUGUACCCAAGCUGAAUGCCACUGGAAGAGACUUGCUACAGAACUUGCUGAAGUGUAACCCGGUCCAGAGGAUUUCGGCAGACGAGGCGCUUCAACAUCCGUACUUUGCAGAUUACUGCCCCCCAUAAUGCACCCCAGAAGCUGCUUCCCAUCCCCCUCCCUUUUCCUGGUCUUACAUCUUGUCGGUUACUUGCCCACCCUGCACGGCCACCUACCCCAGACUCCUCCCAGCCCCCCAUAUCAGACUGUAAUGGAGACCUACCUGCGUCCUUGUUAGUGUCCA